UACGUAGGUGGCAAGCGUUGUCCGGAUUUACUGGGCGUAAAGAGCGCGCAGGCGGUCGAAUAAGUCGAAUGUGAAAGCCCCCGGCUCAACUGGGGAGGGUCAUUCGAUACUGCUCGACUUGAAGGCAGGAGAGGGUAGUGGAAUUCCCGGUGUAGUGGUGAAAUGCGUAGAUAUCGGGAGGAACACCAGUGGCGAAGGCGACUACCUGGCCUGUUCUUGACGCUGAGGCGCGAAAGCUGGGGGAGCAAACGGG
rnacentral:rRNA from 1 species